GGACCUGACUGCUAUCGGAUUGAUACUAAGCCAUGCGAGUCAUUGUAGCAAUACAAGGCAUACGGCUCAGUAACGCGUAGUCAACCUAACCUAUGGACGGGAAUAACCUCGGGAAACUGAGAAUAAUGCCCGAUAGAACAUUAUGCCUGGAAUGGUUUAUGUUCCAAAUGAUUUAUCGCCGUAGGAUGGGACUGCGGCCUAUCAGUUUGUUGGUGAGGUAAUGGCCCACCAAGACUAUUACAGGUACGGGCUCUGAGAGGAGUAGCCCGGAGAUGGGUACUGAGACACGGACCCAGGCCCUAUGGGGCGCAGCAGGCGAGAAAACUUUGCAAUGUGCGAAAGCACGACAAGGUUAAUCCGAGUGGUUUCUGCUAAAGAAACCUUUUGUCGAGUCCUAGAAACACUGAUGAAUAAGGGGUGGGCAAGUUCUGGUGU
rnacentral:rRNA from 1 species